CGUGUCUCAGGCUGUAGCAGUGGGCAGGAAGAUGGUAUUGCAGCUGUGUCCACCACGUCAUCUGGAUGGGACAUUGAACCUUUCCAGGAAGCCCUGCUGAGUGGGCCCUCAUUCUUCAAGGUUUCUUGUGAGCUGUCAAACAUCAGUUCUACAGGCAUCAGAGGAAACUGGAGUGUAUUUUACUCACCGCCCAGAUCUUCUCCAGUUGUUCAUGAGUACCAGAAGUUGCUGCAAAUAUUGGCUGACCCUGGAUCAUUUCCACAAAUAUACAGCCUGCACUCCUGCAAGAAA